UUCACUUCUUCAUAAGGUAAAAUAAAUACAUUAUUGUAAGUUAGUGUCGCUGGAACAAUAGUCCAAUUAAAUAUUUCUUAAUGGCUAGUUCAUUACAAAUACCAAAUGCACCAAACGAAAAGGGAACUAUCACUGCUCAGCCGGGUGAUUUAUACGUUGAUGAAGGAGCAUCUUGGUCCGACAGAUGAACUUGUAAUUAUCUACUCUAGAAUUAUUUUUUCCUGUUUUAUAAAUGCGUUUCUAUUGAUAUUACAUGAUAUAUAUGGUGUUGUCUACGGAUAAUACCUUCGUCCAUAUAUUCACAUGUACCAGACACAACUAGUGAUGGCAAAAUAGUUAAAAGAAAAUAUUUAUCCACCUAUAUUAUUCAUUAAAAAAUGGGUUAGAUAAUGAACUUUUUAAAAACGGGUCAAAUAUGGAUAAGAACCAUAUUAUCCACUUAGAAAAUGGAUAAGCAAUGAAUAACUAACGGGUUUAACUUUUAUAUUUGUAAAGCCUCAAAUUGAGGGUUUCUCAAGUUUAGGAGACUAGGAAUUUUUCCAAAAAACGAUCAUAUUCAAGAAGUCAUGGAUAAUAUGGAUAUCCGUAUUAUCCGCCGAUUAACCCAUUUUUUAUCCGUAUUAAAAAUAUGGAUCGAAUCGCAUAAUUUAUCCAUUUUUUACAUUACCUGUUUUGACCCCUCAUACCCGUCUGUUUGCCGCCCUAGACACAACUAUUCUGAGUUUCCGACUACGCUAUGACAGAAGGGUAAAGAGUGAAUUAUUACCUUAGCAAGCAGGAAACAGAGACAAUUUAUUCAAGGUGGCUCCGAUUUAUAAGAGAAAAUUAUCCGCGAGAAGGGGACGUUGUACUAUGUGAAUAUUGGGAGCGCAAUAACAAUAAUGUUAUAAAAUAUAACUCAAAUUAACAAUAUAGAACAAGAAAAACAAAGCUAAGAGAUAUAGAGAGN
rnacentral:lncRNA from 1 species